AGGGAAUCUUCCGCAAUGGGCGAAAGCCUGACGGAGCAACGCCGCGUGAGUGAUGAAGGUCUUCGGAUCGUAAAACUCUGUUAUUAGGGAAGAACAUAUGUGUAAGUAACUGUGCACAUCUUGACGGUACCUAAUCAGAAAGCCACGGCUAACUACGUGCCAGCAGCCGCGGUAAUACGUAGGUGGCAAGCGUUAUCCGGAAUUAUUGGGCGUAAAGUGCGCGUAGGCGGUUUUUUAAGUCUGAUGUGAAAGCCCACGGCUCAACCGUGGAGGGUCAUUGGAAACUGGAAAACUUGAGUGCAGAAGAGGAAAGUGGAAUUCCAUGUGUAGCGGUGAAAUGCGCAGAGAUAUGGAGGAACACCAGUGGCGAAGGCGACUUUCUGGUCUGUAACUGACGCUGAUGUGCGAAAGCGUGGGGAUCAAACAGGAUUAGAUACCCUGGUAGUCCACGCCGUAAACGAUGAGUGCUAAGUGUUAGGGGGUUUCCGCCCCUUAGUGCUGCAGCUAACGCAUUAAGCACUCCGCCUGGGGAGUACGACCGCAAGGUUG
rnacentral:rRNA from 1 species